AUUGAACGCUGGCGGCAGGCCUAACACAUGCAAGUCGAGCGACCGGCGGACGGGUGAGUACUGUCUGGGAACCUGCCUGAUGGAGGGGGAUAACGACUGGAAACGGUAGCUAAUACCGCAUACCAUCAGAUGUGCCCCGAUGGGAUUAGCUAGUGGGUGGGGUACCGGCCCACCUAGGCGACGAUCCCUAGCUGGUCUGAGAGGAUGACCAGCCACACUGGAACUGAGACACGGUCCAGACUCCUACGGGAGGCAGCAGUGGGGAAUAUUGCACAAUGGGCGCAAGCCUGAUGCAGCCAUGCCGCGUGUGUGAAGAAGGCCUUCGGGUUGUAAAGCACUUUCAGCGGGGAGGCGUUACCCGCAGAAGAAGCACCGGCUAACUCCGUGCCAGCAGCCGCGGUAAUAC
rnacentral:rRNA from 1 species